GUUUUCUUUUGAAGAGGAAAGAGCCAGACUGUAGGAGCACAGCAUACAUUUAUAGUGGAGUAUAUCAGACACAGAGUAAGACUUUCUCCAGCAGCGUUCAAGAACAUUUUUGGAGGUAUCGGGUCAGCUUGAUGUGCCAGGGUUGUAAUUGGGGGUGCUUAGUGCUUUUAAGUGUAGUAGGUACCAUGAUGUCUAGUUGAGUGGAGAGAGUGGAGUUGGAGGUUGCAGUGUUAGGGCAGGUGAGAUUUGAGAUGGGUGAAAGGAGACUUUGGAGGUUGGUGGAGAAUCGCUGUAGGUCAAGACAAUGGAAGUUUCUGUAAGACUGAUAUGGUGAGGAUUGGGUAUGGGG